UUUGGUGGCGAUAGCGAAGAGGUCACACCCGUUCCCAUGUCGAACACGGAAGUUAAGCUCUUCAGCGCCGAUGGUAGUCGGGGGUUUCCCCCUGUGAGAGUAGGACGCUGCCAAGC
rnacentral:rRNA from 1 species